AUGUGGAGGGAUACGUUGUUAAGAAGUGUGUGUCCUCUUAAAUAUUCUGCAUUUCACGAAGUAGGAUGUUCCUCAGUGGAAUGUAUCGGGAAGUGUAAUGGCAACUUUUUAACUCUGGCAAAGCCAUGUUUAUGAAAAUGGAAAGCAGCAGUAGUCCCAACAUGGAAUGACAAGAGACUCCACUGAUAUACUGACCUUUGCUGAAAGAAAUUACCAUAUGCCAUCGUGCGCUGUUUUAGUGAUUCAAAUUGCAAGCCAAUUGCCAUGGUCUCAGGAAAUAACGAGGUGCCUCCCUUCAGGAGUCUGCUUGUCCUUCCCAUGUCUGAGUAGGUUUUUUUUUGCCUUUCACAUCCUAAAGAUGUUUAGAUCGAUCAUUUCUGUAUGGCCCGAACUCAGACUGGAAGCACAAGUGACAUGUUCACAGUUAUUUCUAACCUCCUUCUCUGUUGUGUAGCUCUGCAUUCAGCACAUCAGACUUUUCAGAUAAAUCGUGGAUCUGCUGCUGGAUUUCUCCUUGAAGCCUGCGCCUCUGCACUGGGUACUUUUGCUGUGUUCAUCCCAGACCUUGCACCUCUUCAACAGCACGCUUUCUGGGUCGCUGUCAUCAUUGGCAUGCCUCUGCUUGCUUUUGGCUUCCACUGGCUCUGCAAUGAUCACUCCACAGCCAACACCCUCCUGAUCAGUGGUUUGAUUCUUGGUGUCUCCUCUGACCACAUUACUGUAGAAACAUGUGCCAUAUUGUCCCAUACUUUGUGUAUGUUGACACUGAUUUCUAUUCUUAUUGUGUCUAUCUUCACUGCCAAUUGGUAUGGCAUUUUUGGCAGUGUAUUAAUGCAUACUGCUUGUCUGUUUUCAGUGAUUAAAGGGCAGCAGCUACUGGCCUUGAGGAAGGAUAGUGCUGUGAACUGCAUUCUCUCAGUUGGUCUUUUGUUAAUGCAGUGUGCUGUGAAAAAACAGCAUUCAGAUUUGACUGACCAGCUGAUACAAAUUAUGUAACUGAUUUUUGUUGGCAGUUUUUUUUCAGCAAAUCAGAAUACCAAGGGAAAAAUUACUAAACAUGUGGUUGCUCCUUUCUGUAGGUCUAAAAAUAUGUAUGUUCUUUAAGCAGUUGUAUCUCAACAGCGAGCAUAGUUGUUGAAGGAAUAUUAGAAUGAUAGGAGGAAGGAUCAUAGAUUAAAAGGGGUGGUUAAGGGAAUGAGGACUCUAUACCACAAAGAUGAGACAGGAAGGAAGAUGUAUACCAUCUUGAGACAAGUAAGUUGUGAGGAACUAAAUAGCAAGCAUGUGGGAGCAUGGGCUACAUGUUGAGGAGAUACAAGACUGGCAUUUGGAAGUAUUACUUAACAGAAGAUGACAAAUUACUGAAAAGAUAUAUGGUCCCUGAACCACAUGGAAAAAUGUGUGAAAGAGUGCAGUAGUUACAUAAGGCUAGCUGCAACAGUUCAGCUGUCUGGAAGGAAUAGAGAAUUUGUUUUAUUUUUCUCUGCAUAAUUUUAUAUGAGCUAUAGCAGGAUACUAGGAUACUGCAUGAAGGGAGAGAAUGUUAAUGCUUGCCUUUUUGUAGAAGCAGGUACGUUUAGGAAUACUUUUUAAGGCACUCCAUGUGAAAGGGCAAAGCUUGACAUCUGCAUCAGAAGAAUGUCUUCUGUUAAUUCCUUUACAUUGGCUUCGUAUUUUGAAGAUGAGUAAAGUACAGACCCCCUAUAGGAUAUUUUUUUUAAAUUUGCUUUCCCUCUAAAAUGGAAUGAGCAUUGCCAUAUGACAACAGAAUUGGUAGUUGCUGUUUGUAGGAAAGAAAGGUUGCAGUGUUUGUACUAAUCAGAGUAAUAGCACAGGGAGCAAGUAUUAGUCUAAAUUAUAUUUCCCGUGGUAGCAUGUCUCACUAAAAGAGUGCUAGUUGCAAACACAAUUGCAGUAUUUCUAUGACCAAAUGAUCAGGGCCAAGCUGCAUUGUGCAAGCUGUUUAGGCAAAUAAUGAGUCCGAAUGUAAGAAGCACUGAGAACUUACAUUCAUCUUUUGAUCACUGCUGCAGUAGCCUUAGCUAAAUGGGUUAUAUUCUGCCUAAGAUAUAGCCAGCCAUCUUACAAAGCCUAAGGGUACCUUCUGUGCACUCGGACCAUUGCCAGCUUGAGCAGGACUGUAUGAAAUCAGGGGUCUGUGUGUCAAGACCUUCAAAGUUCUCUUGCUACUCAAGACCACUUCGGUUGUGGACUUCCAAGAAUUGAUGGCCAGCUAGCAUUUUUCCUUAGCUGGGCAGGUAUGUUCCCUUCAGGGGAAAACCUUCCACUUUAACUUUUUAAAACAGAAACAGUACCUUUGUGAAGAAGUGUUUAAUUUUAACUAGGUUUUACAGUUUUUGGGGGACUGUCUCAAGAAAUUCUCGAGCAUAAUUCCAUUUUUCCAUCCAUGUUUUAAAUUUGUAAACUGCUUCUUGAACUAAAUGUUGUAGCAUAUUUUUGCAUUUGUAAAUAUGUAUAUGUUUUAUUAGCAUAUCCUUGUACAUCUAAAUAUGUUUUGUUCAUUUCUUAUGUGAUCCUGUUCACCCUGGCUGUGCCUGCAAACGGUCCAUUGAGAUCCGUGCACUACCCUGAUAAACAAAUAUAAAUAAAUAGAAUUACUCUGAGUUGAA